rnacentral:tRNA from 1 species
AGUCAUUUGGCUGAGUUUUAAGCAGAUGUUUUGAAAACAUUUUACAGGGUAAAACCCUAAUGGCUU